AACGAACGCUGGCGGCAGGCUUAACACAUGCAAGUCGAGCGCCCCGCAAGGGGAGCGGCAGACGGGUGAGUAACGCGUGGGAAUCUACCCAUCUCUACGGAAUAACGCAUGGAAACGUGUGCUAAUACCGUAUACGUCCUUCGGGAGAAAGAUUUAUCGGAGAUGGAUGAGCCCGCGUUGGAUUAGCUAGUUGGUGGGGUAAAGGCCUACCAAGGCGACGAUCCAUAGCUGGUCUGAGAGGAUGAUCAGCCGCACUGGGACUGAGACACGGCCCAGACUCCUACGGGAGGCAGCAGUGGGGAAUAUUGGACAAUGGGCGCAAGCCUGAUCCAGCCAUGCCGCGUGGGUGAUGAAGGCCCUAGGGUUGUAAAGCUCUUUCACCGGUGAAGGUAAUGACGGUAACCGGAGAAGAAGCCCCGGCUAACUUCGUGCCAGCCGCCGCCGUAACAC
rnacentral:rRNA from 1 species